UACCAGCACCCCAAGUGGUCGGGACGAUUAUUGGGCCUAAAGCAUCCGUAGCCGGUUCUACAAGUCUUCCGUUAAAUCCAACUGCUUAACAGGUGGGCUGCGGAAGAUACUAUAGAGCUAGGAGGCGGGAGAGGCAAGCGGUACUCGAUGGGUAGGGGUAAAAUCCGUUGAUCCAUUGAAGACCACCAGUGGCGAAGGCGGCUGACUGGUCCACAACUGACGCUGAGGUGCGAAAGCGUGGGGAGCAAACAGG
rnacentral:rRNA from 1 species